CUAAAUGACACUUAUACUUGUCUCACUUUGUCAUGCCGGUCCCCAAACUUAAUAAUUUGCCAAUUGAAUACUUACACUCCUUCAAAUCGUGUAUAAUAAACGCUUAUGACACGAGACGACCAGUGCAUGUAAUACAAUCUCCUACACGUGGGACGCCACGUCAAGAAAAUUAAACCACGUAGGCUCCAGGUCAAUUAUUAUGUCACAUAAGAAAAUAAAAGGGGAAAUGAUUCUUAUCCCUCCCAAAUCCAAAUUUUCCCCUCAGUUUACACUUACCCCUUUGUUAGGGUUUAGAAAGUAUGAACCAUUCCUGUCUCUCCCCUCUUCUUCGUCAUCCUUGCUAGGAUUUUUAUGUCCAAAGUCCACUUAAAUCCUGUCUGCUUGACGAUGAUGAUGUUGUCGUGUUGCCCCCAACCAUGGACGAGAUUGUUAGGCUUUACGAGCUCUUUUUGUCCGAUUUAACUUUCAAUUCUAAGCAUGUCAUUACUGAUCUCACCAUAAUUGCCGGCGAACAGAGAGAACACGGUCGAAGCAUCGCUGAUGCCAUUUGUUGUCGCAUUCUUGAGGUCCCAGUAAAAUAGAAAUUACCCUCAUUUAUAAACAAGGAUUGUUGGUUUUUUUUUUUAAAUUGAGGAAAUCAAUGGCAGAACAAGGGCUGUUGGUUUUCACCUCCGAAUUUCAAAGAUUAAAAAUGGAGGAAAAUCAACGGUGGCUCAGAUCUAUAAUAUUGAAGACAAGGCAAGAGAUUGGAGACAGAAGAAAAAAUUAUCAUCACAAUCUCAUAUUUUUGCAGCCUAGAUAAAAAUUUUAUUUAUGUUUGAGAUCAAUUUUAUUUGAGAACAGCUGAUUGGGAUGUAAUCAAACUGAGAUUGUAAAUAUUUACUUAGAAGAAGAAGAAGGUACAGAGGGAACAAAAAGGGAGGGGGUGGGUACGGGAAGAACAGAAAGAGACAUACCUUUUUUGCUUUUUUUUUUUUACUUAUUUUAUUUUCAUUCUUAUUUAAUUAA